UACGUAGGUGGCAAGCGUUGUUCGGAAUUAUUGGGCGUAAAGCGCUCGUAGGCGGUCUGUUGCGUCGGCUGUGAAAACCCGGGGCUCAACCCCGGGCCUGCAGCCGAUACGGGCAGACUAGAGUUCGGCAGGGGAGACUGGAAUUCCUGGUGUAGCGGUGAAAUGCGCAGAUAUCAGGAGGAACACCGGUGGCGAAGGCGGGUCUCUGGGCCGAUACUGACGCUGAGGAGCGAAAGCGUGGGGAGCAAACAGG
rnacentral:rRNA from 1 species